rnacentral:lncRNA from 1 species
CAAGACGCCACCGCUAGAACGAAAUUGAAGGUAGGGGAAACAGAGGGAAUGGAGGGAUCCUGCUACCUGCUAUAUAAGGCCUGAAAAUAUUUGGAAAAUAUCAUAUUUGUUUCUGUCGUUGAAAGGAAAAGAUACUUCAAAAGUUGUGAUUAUCACAUGUUGAUGUACGACAAGCAUGGGUUAUGGAGGGCACGUGUUCGUCCGAUUGUUUCGUCAAGUUUAUUUUCAACUAACUGAUGUAUCCAAGAAAUUCUCAAGUUGUUGAUGCUGAAGUGGAAUUUCUGUGUUGCAGUUUCACUAAGUGGAUUCUGCUUGCUUGAUGAGUUGCUGGCACCUGAUUCACUUGGAUUGGGAGAUUCUGUGUCACUGGUACCCAGUCUUUAUUCUCUGGUAACCAUAAUACUUAGGAGAUCCUUGAAAGGAAUUUUUAAAUCUGCAGGGUCACUUCAUGUCCAAUUAUGCUGUUUGCUAUUGACUAUUGUAUGUUGCAUUCAGGUGCUAACAUGAUGCUGCCCUGUCUCCAGUGUUGCUCUUGGAGGGUGUUGGACUUGUUUGGUUUUAGAUUGAUGUGGGGCUUUUUGGCUGUCUUAAGGUGAUGUUGCGUCGUGUCGGAUGUUCUAUCUCCAGGGUGUCAUUUCGGUACCGUCGGCAAAGCAUCCAAUAAGAUAGGAAGUACGAGUGGACCCUACAUACAUGGCAGGAAAAGGUCGGGAUAUGCAGUUCUGUGAUGCAGUCCAAGAUGCAUCCAAUCCAAUUAUGGUAACGAUUUCUUUAAGUCGCUAGGUCUACUUCUAUUAUGAACUUAGGAAUUUUGUGGCCCACUGAUCUGUUGAAUCAGAGGGGUAGGGAAAUGCUGCAGGAUGCAGGGCGGCCAAUGUUAACGUCAGCAACCACUCAACAUUUAAUGAAUGGCAUUAUUCAUCUGUAAAAUCGUCAAGUAAUGUAUGAUGCGGUGUUUUAAGGAACAUUUGCUCAGGUUGUUCACAAGUUCCAUACUAUGUGAACUAAAGAGCGAUAAAACUAAGAUCCGCUUUCAGGGUUUGUUUAGCAUCCAUGAUUUGAGGUAGAUGUCAAUAUCGUGAAAUAUGUGGAAAUGUUAAGUAUAUUUGUUCGUGUACAUAAAAUAUGGUUAUCUUCUUCGUGUAUCGCCCCCAUGCAUUUAUUAUUUACUACAUUUCAUAACUUUUGUUAUGAAAAACUUUGAAGAAUGUUUAUAGUAAUUGUAAUUAACAUAAAACAAUCUUUGCAAAAUGUUUUAAUCAUAUUUAUAUAAUAUUUAGAAAAAUGUGACGAUUCAACAAAAAGCAUUUCGAAAUUGUUAAUUCGUGUGCAUUGUAUAACUAAUCGAAGUCAAAUUUACGGCGGAAAAAUGCUUAA